UGGCUCAGGACGAACGCUGGCGGCGUGCUUAACACAUGCAAGUCGAACGAUGAUCUCCCGCUUGCGGGGGUGAUUAGUGGCGAACGGGUGAGUAAUACGUGAGUAACCUGCCCUUGACUCUGGGAUAAGCCUGGGAAACCGGGUCUAAUACUGGAUACGACCCCCUGUCGCAUGGUGGGGGGUGGAAAGGGUUUGACUGGUUUUGGAUGGGCUCACGGCCUAUCAGCUUGUUGGUGGGGUAAUGGCUCACCAAGGCGACGACGGGUAGCCGGCCUGAGAGGGUGACCGGCCACACUGGGACUGAGACACGGCCCAGACUCCUACGGGAGGCAGCAGUGGGGAAUAUUGCACAAUGGGCGGAAGCCUGAUGCAGCGACGCCGCGUGAGGGAUGACGGCCUUCGGGUUGUAAACCUCUUUCAGCAGGGAAGAAGCCACAAGUGACGGUACCUGCAGAAGAAGCGCCGGCUAACUACGUGCCAGCAGCCGCGGUAAUACGUAGGGCGCAAGCGUUGUCCGGAAUUAUUGGGCGUAAAGAGCUCGUAGGCGGUUUGUCGCGUCUGCUGUGAAAGCCCGGGGCUCAACCCCGGGUCUGCAGUGGGUACGGGCAGACUAGAGUGCAGUAGGGGAGACUGGAAUUCCUGGUGUAGCGGUGAAAUGCGCAGAUAUCAGGAGGAACACCGAUGGCGAAGGCAGGUCUCUGGGCUGUUACUGACGCUGAGGAGCGAAAGCAUGGGGAGCGAACAGGAUUAGAUACCCUGGUAGUCCAUGCCGUAAACGUUGGGCACUAGGUGUGGGGGACAUUCCACGUUCUCCGCGCCGUAGCUAACGCAUUAAGUGCCCCGCCUGGGGAGUACGGCCGCAAGGCUAAAACUCAAAGGAAUUGACGGGGGCCCGCACAAGCGGCGGAGCAUGCGGAUUAAUUCGAUGCAACGCGAAGAACCUUACCAAGGCUUGACAUUCACCGGACCGCCUCAGAGAUGGGGUUUCCCUUCGGGGUCGGUGGACAGGUGGUGCAUGGUUGUCGUCAGCUCGUGUCGUGAGAUGUUGGGUUAAGUCCCGCAACGAGCGCAACCCUCGUUCUAUGUUGCCAGCACGUGAUGGUGGGGACUCAUAGGAGACUGCCGGGGUCAACUCGGAGGAAGGUGGGGAUGACGUCAAAUCAUCAUGCCCCUUAUGUCUUGAGCUUCACGCAUGCUACAAUGGCCGG
rnacentral:rRNA from 1 species